rnacentral:rRNA from 1 species
GAUGAACGCUGGCGGCGUGCCUAAUACAUGCAAGUCGAGCGAAUGGAUUAAGAGCUUGCUCUUAUGAAGUUAGCGGCGGACGGGUGAGUAACACGUGGGUAACCUGCCCAUAAGACUGGGGUAACUCCGGGAAACCGGGGCUAAUACCGGAUAACAUUUUGAACCGCAUGGUUCGAAAUUGAAAGGCGGCUUCGGCUGUCACUUAUGGAUGGACCCGCGUCGCAUUAGCUAGUUGGUGAGGUAACGGCUCACCAAGGCAACGAUGCGUAGCCGACCUGCGAGGGUGAUCGGCCACACUGGGACUGAGACACGGCCCAGACUCCUACGGGAGGCAGCAGUAGGGAAUCUUCCGCAAUGGACGAAAGUCUGACGGAGCAACGCCGCGUGAGUGAUGAAGGCUUUCGGGUCGUAAAACUCUGUUGUUAGGGAAGAACAAGUGCUAGUUGAAUAAGCUGACACCUUGACGGUACCUAACCAGAAAGCCACGGCUAACUACGUGCCAGCCGCCGCCGUAA